rnacentral:misc_RNA from 1 species
GAUGAAGAACGUAGCGAAAUGCGAUACGUAAUGUGAAUUGCAGAAUUCAGUGAAUCAUCGAAUCUUUGAACGCAUAUUGCGCUCUCUGGUAUUCCGGAGAGCAUGCUUGUUUGAGUAUCAGUAAACACCUCAACUUCCAUAUCUUUUUUGAAAUGGGAGUUGGACUUGAGUGAUCCCAACGCUUUUCCUCACCGAAAAGUGGCGGGUUACUUGAAAUGCAGGUGCAGCUGGACUUUUCUCUGAGCUAUAAGCAUAUCUAUUUAGUCUGCCUAAAAAACAGAUUAUUACCUUUGCUGCAGCUAACAUAAAGGAGAUUAGUUCUUGUGCUGACUGAUGCAGGAUUCACAAAGACAGGCUUCGGCCGACUUUGUAAACUCGAUCUCAAAUCAGGUAAGACUACCCGCUGAACUUAAGCAUAUCAAUAAGCGGAGGA